AGAGUUUGAUCCUGGCUCAGGAUGAACGCUAGCGGGAGGCUUAAUACAUGCAAGUCGAGGGGUAACAUUAGAGCUUGCUCUAGAUGACGACCGGCGCACGGGUGAGUAACGCGUACACGACCUACCUUAGAGAAGGGAAUAGCCCUGGGAAACUGGGAGUAAUACCCUAUGGUAUUAAUUUAUUGCGAUAAUUUAAUUAAAGGUUUCGGCCGCUCUAAGAUGGGUGUGCGUCUCAUUAGCUAGUUGGUAAGGUAACGGCUUACCAAGGGGACGAUGGGUAGGGGGCGUGAGAGCGUGAUCCCCCACACGGGUACUGAGACACGGACCCGACUCCUACGGGAGGCAGCAGUAAGGAAUAUUGGACAAUGGGGGCAACCCUGAUCCAGCCAUCCUGCGUGUAGGAAGACGGCCCUAUGGGUUGUAAACUACUUUUGUAUGGGAAGAAUGUGUUCCAUUUAUGGAAUUUUGACGGUACCAUACGAAUAAGCACCGGCUAACUCCGUGCCAGCAGCCGCGGUAAUACGGAGGGUGCAAGCGUUAUCCGGAAUCACUGGGUUUAAAGGGUGCGUAGGCGGAUAGAUAAGUCAGAGGUGAAAGCUCACAGCUUAACUGUGGAAUUGCCUUUGAUACUGUUUAUCUUGAAUUAUGUUGAGGUUAGCGGAAUGUGACAUGUAGCGGUGAAAUGCAUAGAUAUGUCCU
rnacentral:rRNA from 1 species